rnacentral:rRNA from 1 species
CCUACGGGUGGCAGCAGUGGGGAAUAUUGCACAAUGGGGGAAACCCUGAUGCAGCGACGCCGCGUGAGUGAUGAAGUAUUUCGGUAUGUAAAGCUCUAUCAGCAGGGAAGAGAAUGACGGUACCUGAGUAAGAAGCCCUGGCUGACUACGUGCCAGCAGCCGCGGUAAUACGUCGGGGGCAAGCGUUCUCCGGAUUUACUGGGUGUAAAGGGAGCGUCGAUGGCGAAGAAAGUCUGAAGUGAAAGCCCGCGGCGCAACCGGGGAACUGCUUUGGACACUGUUUUGCUGGAGUACCGGAGAGGUAAGCGGAAUUCCUAGUGUAGCGGUGAAAUGCGUAGAUAUUAGGAGGAACACCAGUGGCGAAGGCGACUUACUGGACGGUAACUGACGUUGAGGCGCGAAAGCGUGGGGAGCAAACAGGAUUAGAUACCCGUGUAGUC